rnacentral:rRNA from 1 species
AAACACGGACCAAGGAGUCUAACAUGUGCGCGAGUCAAUGGGACCUCCGAAUCCCAAAGGCGCAAUGAAAGUGAAAAAUGUGAAGCGGCUCGUCCGCAGAGAUUGAGGGAGGAUGGGCCGGGGCAAUUGUACAUUUUCGAACCCCCGCGCCCCGCACUCCCGGGGCGUCGUUUUCGGCGCACCUAGAGCGCACACGUUGGUACCCGAAAGAUGGUGAACUAUGCCUGGCCAGGACGAAGCCAGGGGAAACCCUGGUGGAGGUCCGUAGCGAUUCUGACGUGCAAAUCGAUCGUCUGAGCUGGGUAUAGGGGCGAAAGACUAAUCGAACCAUCUAGUAGCUG